AGCAGCCGCGGUAAUUCCAGCUCCAAUAGCGUAUAUUAAAGUUGUUGCAGUUAAAAAGCUCGUAGUUGAAUUUCGGGGUUAGUAGGUUGGUCAUGCCCCUGGUAUGUACUGGUCUCACUGAUUCCUCCUUCCUUAUGAACCGUAAUGCCAUUAAUUUGGUGUUGCGGGAAAUUUGGACUGUUACUUUGAAAAAAUUUAGAGUGCUUAAAGCAAGCUAACGCUUGAAUACAUUAGCAUGGAAUAAUGAAAUAGGACGUUCGAUCUUAUUUUGUUGGUUUCUAGGAUUGACGUAAUGAUUAAUAGGGAUAGUUGGGGGCAUUAGUAUUCAAUUGUCAGAGGUGAAAUUCUUGGAUUUAUUGAAGACUAACUACUGCGAAAGCAUUUGCCAAGGAUGUUUCCAUUAAUCAAGAACGAAAGUUAGGGGAUCGAAGACGGUCAGAUACCGUCGUAGUCUUAACCAUAAACUAUGCCGACUAGGGAUCGGGUGAUGUUAAUUUUUUAAUGACUCAUUCGGCGCCUU
rnacentral:rRNA from 1 species